rnacentral:tRNA from 1 species
GCCCCUGUAGCUCAAUUUGGAUAGAGCGAGACUCUCCUAAGGUCUAGGUUGGCCGUUCGAUUCGGCCCGGGGGCG